CUGGGCGGGCCUGCUUACCAUGCAAGUCGUGCGGAAAGGCCUCUUUUUGGGGUGCUCGAGCGGCGAACGGGUGAGUAACACGUGAGUGACCUGCCCUCAGCUUUGGGAUAACCCUCGGAAACGGGGGCUAAUACCGGAUAUGACCUUCUGGUGCAUGCCGGGGGGUGGAAAGCCUUUGUGGCGGCUGGGGAUGGGCUCGCGGCCUAUCAGCUUGUUGGUGGGGUAAUGGCCUACCAAGGCGUUGACGGGUAGCCGGCCUGAGAGGGUGUCCGGCCACACUGGGACUGAGACACGGCCCAGACUCCUACGGGAGGCAGCAGUGGGGAAUCUUGCGCAAUGGGCGGAAGCCUGACGCAGCGACGCCGCGUGAGGGAUGAAGGCCUUCGGGUUGUAAACCUCUUUCAGCCUUGACGAAGCUGCCUGGUUUUCCGGGUGGUGACGGUAGGGGUUGAAGAAGCGCCGGCUAACUACGUGCCAGCAGCCGCGGUAAGACGUAGGGCGCGAGCGUUGUCCGGAUUUAUUGGGCGUAAAGAGCUCGUAGGCGGCCUGUCACGUCAAUCGUGAAAUUCUGCGGCUUAACCGUGGGAGUGCGGUUGAUACGGGCAGGCUAGAGUGCGGUAGGGGAGACUGGAAUUCCUGGUGUAGCGGUGAAAUGCGCAGAUAUCAGGAGGAACACCGGUGGCGAAGGCGGGUCUCUGGGCCGUUACUGACGCUGAGGAGCGAAAGCGUGGGGAGCGAACAGGAUUAGAUACCCUGGUAGUCCACGCUGUAAACGUUGGGCGCUAGGUGUGGGGGUCCUUCCCGGGGUCUCUGUGCCGUAGCCUAACGCAUU
rnacentral:rRNA from 1 species